UGCCAGCUAGUUUGUAGUUAGUAGGAAGCCCGAGAUCGAGUAUUAACUGUUGCAGUGAAAGCAGUAGAACAACCAGAUCAGUAGUAACAGUCCAGGGUUGCCCAGGAGUCGAUUCUGAUUGAUAUUGGGGUCAUUCCUAUUUUGUAAUUACGAUUUUGUUAGCAUGGAUUCCAGUCUUUUUAGUAGAGAUGUAAGUGCGAGUAGGGAAGACCCGAUCCAAGAAGCAAAGAUCCCAUGUCAGUGUUAAACAGUCAAAGGAAGGAUAGUUAGAAUUAGAUUGAGUAGUCGAAAAGAAAAGUAAGGCUGCUAGGCAUUAGUGGAAGUUUUGAAACAAGGGAAUAGGACUUGGUCCUGCUGGGCGUGGAACAAGGCUUUGCUACAGGUGCAUAAGGCUUUGCUCUUGUGGGAGAUGGGUCCGUUUUUCGAGUUCGGAUAGUAGUUCCAGACCAGUACCAGUAUACUUUACUACGUAUUUCAUUAUGAUUAACAGUAGUUCCAUCAUAGGGUUGUAGUGCUGAAGAAAUAGAUCAAAGGGUGUCGGGCUGAGA
rnacentral:lncRNA from 1 species